rnacentral:lncRNA from 1 species
AGGUUUUCAUAUUGGAUCUUGAAGCUACCCUUGCUCCCCUCUCCAAGUCAUAUCAUGCAGCUGAAAAUGACUGUUUAAACAAUGUGAACAUUUUGGAAUCUUCUUUACCCUUAGCCAAUACCAGUCUUCAGCCUACUAACUUGAGCAAUGACAGUUCUCAGAAUUCUACCCAGUCUCAAGGAUAUGUUCCCACUUGCACAAGCUUGUGUUAUCAUUCUAUAUCAUAGUGGAACAAGUUAUGCUGCCUGCUCUUUUUCGCAUAAUAUUUACGUUUCACUUAUUCUUUGGCAACAAGAAAGUGAAAUAGAUGGUACUAUUCUACCAACUUUGUGCUUAAGUAGACUUAAAUCAUGCAAAGUAAAUUGAUAUUGUUUUUGGUGAUAUUGCUUUUCUUAACUAAUAGUUUUUCAUUGUUAGCAAAGAGUGUAUCGAUCUUCAUUUUUUCUUCGGCCUCUGGAUGGACUGCUGACACAAGCUCCAACUUCUAUUUCAUCUGUUGUACCUCUAUUGAUAGCAAUCUCUACGACUCGGCUUCUUCACAUUUUCCAAUUGCCUCUGGUAAGCAAACAAGGGGUGCCCUGCAUAUUCUUUCAGGAAGGGUACUGUUUUAAAAGGUGACUCGUGUCUUCUGUGGGUUCAGU